GUUUGAAGUUUCUGAUAUUUCUGAAUUAAGAGAAUGUAAAAUAAAGGGAAACAAAACUCAGGGGGAGCAUUUAACUUCUGAGGAGCAUUUUCAGUCAAAUAUUCUAUGUCUGUAUUGAACCCUGGAUGCUGCUAUGUCUACACUGUGCUUUGAUACUUCUAUGCAGUGGUGUUUUUCUUUAAAAAAAUCUCUCAUCAAAGUACUUCCCUUUCCACUUCUAGGAAACAGUUUCUCAACCUCACCUGACUUACAGAAAAUACUUAAAAGCAGUAAAACUGCUUUUCUUUAAACAUUCAAUAGACAGCAACCACAUCUUGAGAUUUAGCCAAUUAUACUGACGGUAACAGGCAGCCAUAAAACACCUUUAUCAGCCACCAUGCUUCCUGUUAUGCUCUAAGUGAGGUUUUCUACAAGCUCUGAGCCCCAAGGUGGCCUCAUGGCUCACUUCCCCUCUGCUUUCCUCGCCUGACAAAGAAGAGGUUACUGGGUUCAGCACAGGGACAUCCACAAAGAAGGGAAGAAGAAACAGCCACAGACCAGUGAAGCAACAGAAUAGUUAAUGUGGUUGUCAUUCUCCAGCUGGGACUGAGAACAAGGGGGAGCUGGCCAUAGAGCCAGGUGACCAAAGAUGGGAGACAAAGGGCGGGCUGUGAUUCCUAGAGCUCCAAGCCUUGUUCUGUCUUGUCACACCAACUGUUACUGAUGAAUAGGAUUGACAACUUUUCUACCCACAUGAUAUCUCUGCAAGCAAAAACUUGAACUUUUAAACCUCUUCCCACCUCUGCGCUGCCUACUGCAGCCCUGCAAACACUUGAGAAGCUGGGAUCCAAUUCCACGCCCUACUACGGUUCACCGUCUGAAAACACCUUUUCGUAUGUUUUGGCUGCCCUGCUCCCAGCAGCCACAGGGGUUUCCAGGGGUCUAUGGCCCAGCUGCUGCCACAGGCACAAGAAACGCAGGUUUACACAAUCUUUGAGGCCUGGCUGACCCAUGGAACAACUAGGACAAAAAACAAAGAAAAAGAACACACACCUGACUGGACAGAGAUAAACCAAGAGCUGAGAGUUUUGGAAACAAGGCUGGAGCUGAGGAAAAGGACUGGAAACACGAACCUGUACAAACAACAACCUUUUACAACAGAAAACAACCCACUCCUGGCCGUCAAGAAACCCACAAAUCUCAGACGCAAAAGCAAAACAAGCGAAAAUACAAACCAAAUAGUCUCUAUUACCCUCAUGCCUGUUGGGUUCCAAUAAAGGAAUCAUUCCAAUAAAGGAUUCAACACAUUUUUUUUUAAAACCAUUAUCAUGCAGCAGGUGCCAUGGGAGGCAAGUGUACCUGGAAAGCAGGAAAGCAGGGGAAGGGGGCCAGAUGAU